rnacentral:rRNA from 1 species
UACAGAGGGGGCAAGCGUUGCUCGGAAUCACUGGGCGUAAAGGGUGCGUAGGCGGGUCUUUAAGUCAGGGGGGAAAUCCUGGAGCUCAACUCCAGAACUGCCUUUGAUACUGAAGAUCUUGAGUUCGGGAGAGGCGAGUGGAACUGCGAGUGUAGAGGUGAAAUUCGUAGAUAUUCGCAAGAACACCAGUGGCGAAGGCGGCUCACUGGCCCGAUACUGACGCUGAGGCGCGAAAGCGUGGGGAGCAAACAGG